rnacentral:rRNA from 1 species
CCGGUUGAUCCUGCCAGAGGUUACUGCUAUCGGUGUUCGCCUAAGCCAUGCGAGUCAUAUGUUCUUCGUGAACAUGGCGUACUGCUCAGUAACACGUGGAUAACCUGCCCUUGGGUCCGGCAUAACCCCGGGAAACUGGGGAUAAUUCCGGAUAACGCAUAUAUGCUGGAAUGCUUUAUGCAUAAAAUGGAUUCGUCUGCCCAAGGAUGGGUCUGCGGCCUAUCAGGUAGUAGUGGGUGUAAUGUACCUACUAGCCAACGACGGGUACGGGUUGUGAGAGCAAGAGCCCGGAGAUGGAUUCUGAGACACGAAUCCAGGCCCUACGGGGUGCAGCAGGCGCGAAAACUUUACAAUGCUGGAAACAGCGAUAAGGGGACCUCGAGUGCCAGGUUACAAAUCUGGCUGUCGUGAUGCCUAAAAAGCAUUGCAUAGCAAGGGCCGGGCAAGACCGGUGCCAGCCGCCGCGGUAACACCGGCGGCUCGAGUGGUAACCGUUAUUAUUGGGUCUAAAGGGUCUGUAGCCGGCCGGAUAAGUCUCUUGGGAAAUCUGGCAGCUUAACUGUCAGGCUUUCAGGAGAUACUGUCUGGCUCGAGGCCGGGAGAGGUGAGGGGUACUUCAGGGGUAGGAGUGAAAUCCUGUAAUCCUUGGGGGACCACCUGUGGCGAAGGCGCCUCACCAGAACGGCUCCGACAGUGAGGGACGAAAGCUGGGGGAGCAAACCGGAUUAGAUACCCGGGUAGUCCCAGCCGUAAACGAUGCGCGUUAGGUGUAUCGAUGACCACGAGUCAUCGAGGUGCCGAAGGGAAACCGUGAAACGCGCCGCCUGGGAAGUACGGUCCGCAAGGCUGAAACUUAAAGGAAUUGGCGGG